CAAAAGAUAGUUUAAUAAAAAUAUUAACAUUGGAAGUUAAAGAUUAAAUACAUAUAUUUAUUUUUUGA
rnacentral:tRNA from 1 species